rnacentral:lncRNA from 1 species
GUUAGGGAAAAUGAGAGAAAAGAAAUUGGGUAAAUGGGGGAAUGAAAUCGGGUUUAAGUUGGGGAAGACGCAGACGCAGUUAGGGUCCAAAAAUCAAAAAUUUUGAUUUGGGGUUAUGGGAAAACUACUGAUAGCAGAGCAAAUCAAAGGGACUUCGGGGAAAACGAUUUGAGGAUAUCUCUUUGGGGGAAAUUGUAGGGGAUUUCUGAAAUUAGGGCUUGAAAGUAAU